UAAUAAAAGAAUUUUUUUCUUCAUUAUUUUCACCAUGAAGAAUUAACUAGCUGAGUAAACAUUGACAACAAUUAAGCAGUUAAUUAAUGGAGAAGGUGAAAAUCGUUGAAACUAAUUAGAUGACGAAGAAUCUUUUCUCUUCCAUCAUCAUCAUCAUCAUCAUUAUCAUCAUCUCACCUCUCUCUCUCUCUCUCUCUCUCUCUCUCUCUCUCUCUCUCAUCUCAGCCCGAAACGGAUGUUUAAAUCUAUUCAAUUAUUAACCAUCAACGACAUCGAAUUGAAUUUCGUUGCAACGUUUCAACGUUUUUCUUUAUGAGUGUUGAUUGUGUGAGUGUUUAUGUUUUUUUUACUGUGAAUUAAUUUCUUUUACCUUCAAUCUACAAUCAACUAUAAAGUUAAUUAUAAUUUGAUUCGCUUCAUGUUCAACUGUUAACUGUGCUUGGGAUAAUCACAUUACCGUUAAUUUGGUUGAUAAUUAUUAACUUACAUCUUCAUCUUUAAUUCAGUUUACAUGUUGUAACAUUGGAAGAGCCAUUGGUCAGUUUGUCUGUUUACUUUAGUUUUGUGAUCAAUUGGCUUGAUUGUUUGGAGAAAUCAAACCUUAAUUUAGUUAUUAAUCAACUUUGGGACUUUGAUUUAGCUCUUAAUUAAUCAUGGGACGUGGUGAAAGCUCACAAAUCCCUCGGAAAUCAGACAUUUCCGAUUCCUUUGAAAUUGAAUCCAAUAGUGAUCGACCUGGACUCGGACGGAUGAGUUGGUUGGCCACUAAUUUGGCCAUUGGUGUAAUUGUAUUUUGUGUGAUUGCCUUAAUUGCUUAUGCAACAAUCAAAUUAUACGGAGAUGCUUAAAUCAAGUGUUUCUUAAUUGUUUGUUUUCUGCUCUCUGUCCAUUUCUUUGGUCCACUUUAAUUUCAUCAUUACAUUUUUUUUUUGAUUAUUUCCUCAUUCAAAUUAAAUCCAGAUAAAAGUUUACAACUUUCCAAUAGUCAUAAUCAUCUUCACAACAAUUAAAAGUUAAGUUAAUUGAAUAACAAAGUUCUGGUCUCAUCUAAUGAUUACACCGCUGCCACACCCUGAGAGCCUCAAUCAACUUUAAUCAACAAUAUUGUCAACAAUUAACUUCAUUCAUUUGAUUGUUCUGUCAAUUUUUGCUUUUUUUUCUAUCAACAACAAUUAAAAGUUAUUACUAAUUGUUUCCAUUUUUCAUCUCUUUGUAACCUAGGCAAUUAAAGCCAAUUAUCAAUGUGUUCAAUAAAUUACUAGGCUAAA